GUGUUGCGCAAUGCACAGUAAGGGGGAUUUCCCCCCGACUAAAAUAGAACAGACUCGAUUCUGAUUGGUCAACUUUUCACGAUGUUCGAGAAUGCCGAACCUGACCAAUCAAAAAAGGAAAAUACUUUGAUUGACAUAUUCAGGGGUGGAGCCUAUGUUGGGUCUAAACAGAAGCCCUAGGGCUAGGCCUAAAUCGAUGCCAAAACGUUUUUUUGGUCAUUCUCAGUUUCCAAAAUCAUAUGUUUUGCUUCUUUUUCAUUUUUUUGUUUCAAUAAUGACUCUUGUUUAACAAAAACCACAUAAAACCCAAGUAGUCCAUUGUUACGUAAAAGGCAAAUUGAACACCAAAAUAACACGGUGGGAAUAGGGAAUGGGCAUGUUUAGUCAAUGAGGGUAAUUUUAUGUAUAUUUUUUUUGCAAAAAAGAAAGUUAUUUAAGUAACGUUUAUAUAUAUAAA